CUGCCGGCGACCGGCGCACGGGUGCGGAACGCGUAUGGAACCUGCCCCUGUCAGGGGAAUAGCCCAGGGAAACUUGGAUUAAUGCCCCAUGGUACCGGGAUAUCGCAUGAUAUUCCGGUUAAAGAUUUAUCGGACAGGGAUGGCCAUGCGUACCAUUAGUUAGUUGGUGGGGUAACGGCCCACCAAGGCAGCGAUGGUUAGGGGCCCUGANAGGGGGAUCCCCCACACUGGUACUGAGACACGGACCAGACUCCUACGGGAGGCAGCAGUGAGGAAUAUUGGACAAUGGGCGGGAGCCUGAUCCAGCCAUGCCGCGUGCAGGAUGACGGCCCUAUGGGUUGUAAACUGCUUUUAUACGGGAAGAAACGCACCUACGUGUAGGUGUCUGACGGUACCGUAAGAAUAAGGACCGGCUAACUCCGUGCCAGCAGCCGCGGUAAUACGGAGGGUCCGAGCGUUAUCCGGAAUCAUUGGGUUUAAAGGGUCCGUAGGCGGGCCUGUAAGUCAGGGGUGAAAGUUUGUGGCUCAACCAUAAAAUUGCCUUUGAUACUGCAGGUCUUGAGUCAUGGUGGGGUUGCCGGAACAUGUGGUGUA
rnacentral:rRNA from 1 species